AGAGUUUGAUCAUGGCUCAGGAUGAACGCUGGCGGCGUGCUUAAUACAUGCAAGUCGAACGAAGCUCCUUUUCUUCGGAUGAGGAGUCUUAGUGGCGAACGGGUGCGUAACGCGUUGGUAACCUGCCCCAAAGAGGGGGAUAACAGUUCGAAAGGACUGCUAAUACCCCAUACGAUCAUCAGGGUUAGAUACUUGAUGAUUAAAGGAGUAAUCCGCUUUGGGAGGGGCCUGCGUCCCAUCAGCUAGUUGGUAGGGUAAUGGCCUACCAAGGCGAUGACGGGUAGGGGACCUGAGAGGGUGGCCCCCCACACUGGCACUGAAAUACGGGCCAGACACCUACGGGUGGCAGCAGUAGGGAAUAUUGGACAAUGGGCGAAAGCCUGAUCCAGCAACGCCGCGUGCACGAUGAAGGUCUUCGGAUUGUAAAGUGCUUUUAAGGGAGAUGAGAAAGGACAGUAUCCCUUGAAUAAGCCUCGGCGAACUACGUGCCAGCAGCCGCGGUAAAACGUAGGAGGCGAGCGUUAUCCGGAUUUACUGGGCGUAAAGCGCGUGUAGGCGGCACGGCAAGUUGGAUGUGAAAGCUCCCGGCUUAACUGGGAGAGGUCGUUCAAAACUGCCGAGCUAGAGUGCGGGAGAGGGAGGUGGAAUUCCGGGUGUAGUGGUGAAAUGCGUAGAUAUCCGGAGGAACACCAGUGGCGAAAGCGGCCUCCUGGCCCGCAACUGACGCUCAGACGCGAAAGCUAGGGUAGCAAACGGGAUUAGAUACCCCGGUAGU
rnacentral:rRNA from 1 species